UUGUGUUGGUGGAGCCCUUGCUAAAGACACAACCUUUACUCCUGACUUUAGAGACUACCUCGACUCCAUGUGGAGAUUGGAACUUGAGGGAGCCCUUGCUGGGUGAUUCUACUUCUCAUUUGGUUAAUGUGGAUAAUGCCUCCACUGAUACAGAUUUCAAGCAUGGCUGUUAAGCUAGUUCUUGAAGCCCAGACAUAGUGUGAUGCUUUUCUGAGCCUCUUCCAGAUGAGGAA
rnacentral:lncRNA from 1 species